AUUGAACGCUGGCGGCAUGCUUUACACAUGCAAGUCGAACGGCAGCACAGGGAGCUUGCUCCUGGGUGGCGAGUGGCGAACGGGUGAGUAAUGUAUCGGAACGUGCCUGGUAGUGGGGGAUAACUACUCGAAAGAGUGGCUAAUACCGCAUGAGAUCUUUGGAUGAAAGCGGGGGACCUUCGGGCCUCGUGCUACUGGAGCGGCCGAUAUCAGAUUAGGUUGUUGGUGGGGUAAAGGCCUACCAAGCCUGCGAUCUGUAGCUGGUCUGAGAGGACGACCAGCCACACUGGGACUGAGACACGGCCCAGACUCCUACGGGAGGCAGCAGUGGGGAAUUUUGGACAAUGGGCGCAAGCCUGAUCCAGCAAUGCCGCGCGCAGGACGAAGGCCUUCGGGUUGUAAACUGCUUUUGUACAGAACGAAAAGUCUCUGGCUAAUAUCUAGAGAUCAUGACGGUACUGUAAGAAUAAGCACCGGCUAACUACGUG
rnacentral:rRNA from 1 species